rnacentral:rRNA from 1 species
AUGGCCGCGGUAUUUUGACCGUGCAAAGGUAGCAUAAUCAUUAGUUUAUUAAUUGUAAACUUGUAUGAAUGGUUGGACGAAAUAUUAACUGUCUAUAUUUUAUUAUUAUAAUUUAAAUUUUUAGUUAAAAUGCUUAAAUUUUUUUAUAGGACGAGAAGACCCUAUAGAUCUUUAUUAUUUUAUUUAUUUAUUUAUUUAGUUUAUUUAUUAUAUAUAAUUAUAAUAUUUUUGUUGGGGUGACAUUGAGAUAAUUAUAACUCUUUAUUUUAUUAUUCAUUUAUUUAUGUUUAUUUGACCUUUUAUUAAUGUUAUAAGAUUAAGAUACCUUAGGGAUAACAGCGUAAUUCAUUUUUAGAGUUCAUAUCGACAAGUGAGAUUGCGACCUCGAUGUUGGAUUAAGAUUAUAAUUAGGUGCAGAAGCUUAAUUGUUGAGUCUGUUCGACUUUUAAAUUCUUACAUGAUCUGAGUU